CCUUCGGGUUGUAAGCACUUUUAUCAGGAGCGAAAUACCAUCGGUCAAUACCCGGUGGGGCGUGACGGUACCUGAGGAAUAAGCACCGGCUAACUUCGUGC
rnacentral:rRNA from 1 species